UGGGGAAUAUUGCACAAUGGGCGCAAGCCUGAUGCAGCCAUGCCGCGUGUGUGAAGAAGGCCUUCGGGUUGUAAAGCACUUUCAGCGGGGAGGAAGGCGGUGAGGUUAAUAACCUCACCGAUUGACGUUACCCGCAGAAGAAGCACCGGCUAACUCCGUGCCAGCAGCCGCGGUAAUACGGAGGGUGCAAGCGUUAAUCGGAAUUACUGGGCGUAAAGCGCACGCAGGCGGUCUGUCAAGUCGGAUGUGAAAUCCCCGGGCUCAACCUGGGAACUGCAUUCGAAACUGGCAGGCUGGAGUCUUGUAGAGGGGGGUAGAAUUCCAGGUGUAGCGGUGAAAUGCGUAGAGAUCUGGAGGAAUACCGGUGGCGAAGGCGGCCCCCUGGACAAAGACGGACGCGCAGGUGCGAAAGCGUGGGGAGCAAACAGG
rnacentral:rRNA from 1 species